GGAAGCUCUGGGCAGCUACUUGGGGCCCGCGGAGGUGAUGCUGCAGCUUGGGGUCUCCAGAAGUUUCCAUAAAUCAAUAACAAUAUUAAGACACUAAUCAUGAAUACCAAAGACUUUGUAGUUCUUCCAUGGGGAAAACCUGGACAUUCGGUAAAGCUGAAAUAUAAAAAUGCUCAAGAACUGAGGAUGGAGAAAGUACAGUUAGAGAUGGAGAACCAAGAGGUGGAAAAGAAACUACAAGAAUUCCAUUCAACAAGGAACAGAGAAAAGGAAGAAAGACUGUCAAGUGGAUAUCACUGGAAAUCUGGAAAAGUGGGCAAAUUGGGUAAUCAAUCAUAUAUAAUGUCACAGAAUAAAGGAAAUGUUAUUAAGCUUUCUGCUGGAAAAGUGAAAUUAAAAUUACUGAAGGAGCAGUUUCAAGAGGCAGUGAGAGAACCACUUAAUUAUAAAAUGGCAAAUUCCUCUGGAAGUGAAAAACCCAAGAUAAAGGGGAAGGUUUGUGGACAGUGUGAGAACAAAGCUGCUCUGCUAGUAUGCCUUGAAUGUGGAGAAGAUUAUUGUUCAGGAUGCUUUGCUAAAAUUCACCAGAAGGGGGCACUGAAGCUCCACAGAACAACUCUUUUGCAGGCAAAAUCUCAAAUAUUCUCCAAUGUAUUGGAUGUUGCCCAUCAGUUUAUAAAGGAAGUUAAUCCAGAUGACCCCAGAGGGGAGAUUCACUCUACAAAAAAGAUUAGUAAAAAUCAGCAUAAACCCAAAUCUCUUCUUCUGCAGGGCAGCAACUCUGAGGCAGAAGUUUCAACAACAAAGAAAGCGGAAUGUACAAACCCAAGAGAUGGGCUCUUGUGUGAAGGGUCUUUUAAUGAAGAAGCUUCUGCCCAGUCCUUUCAGGAAGUUUUAAAUCAAUGGAGAGCUGGACAUCAUGAUGACAAUGAAAAACAGAAAUUACAUGCAGCAAAACCAGACUCAUUGGAAGAAUGUGAAGUACAAACUAAUCUGAAAAUUUGGAGAGAACCACUUACUAUUGAAUUUAAAGAAGACAGUAUAUCCUACAUGGAAAAAUUAUGGCUUAAAAAACACAGAAGAAAACCACAGGAGCAACAUCGAAACAUGCUACCAGAUAUAUUCAUACCUCAGUGUACAACUGCUAGUGAGUCACCAUGUUCUCAGCAUGAAAAUGAUGAAGUUAGUAAUGUUGAGGAGACCAAGGUACAACACCCAGCUCUUUUUCUGCCAGUAGAAGAAUUAAGCUCAGAGAAACCUGAACCAUCUCUAAAAAUAGUUGAACUGGAUGACACUCAUGAUGUGGAAAUUGAAGAACCAGGAAAUGUCGUGCCUUACAAAGUUGAGUUAGCUGAUGCAGACAGUCAACAAAGUUACACAUUUCAUGAUUACCAGAAUGCUUUUCUGUAUGAAAAUCACAUCUAUCAACAUAAUGUUUUCACUAAGGGAAAAACAGAUUUCUUACAUCUUCAUCUGAGCAGCAGCUCUUCUUAUUGUGAAGAUAACUCAAAAGCAGGGACUUCAAACGUAAAAUACGACAACAUUGUGGAAUCUGAGGUUUAUUCUCCUGCUGUUGAAAAAUUAGAAGAAAGCAGCUCUCUUGAAAGACAUUGCAAAGAGAAAUGUAUAGAUAUGGAAAGUAAUCAAAAGUCUGAUGAUUCCUACAUAUCACUUGCAAGCAAAGGUUCUUUGCCAAGUGUUGAUUUAGAAAUACCUUACAUUAAGGAGACAUUAUCUCAAGACAUUGAUGAAUUUGUCGAAUUUAGCGAUCUGCACGAGAGGACAGACUCUGAAGACUCAAAAACUAUGAAGUCCUCACUGUUGUUACAAGAAAUAGCCCUCAGAAAUAAGCCUAUAACUGAAAAAUAUCAAGGACUUGAAAGAUUCUUUGUUUUUGAUAAAAAUGAAAGACUCAACUUACUUCCUUCUAAUAGCUUAGAACGCAGCUAUUCCAGUACUAGGAUUACAACUGCAGGAAACAGAGAAUGGAUCCCAGACGAUAGCAUAAGUGCAUCUGCUGACAGUGCAGUUGCCUCAUAUGUUCUGCGGAACGUCCAGAACCCAUCAUCAAGUAGAACCCAGCAAAAUAUAGGCCAGACAUCACAGAGACCUUCAACAGCAAAUUUGCCACUUCCUAACUCUGUUAAAAGAAACUCCAGUUGCCCUUCCUCCUCUCAUCCUCGAUCAAGAAGUGCAGCCGCUCCAUCAUUAUUUAGAGCUGCUUCUGAAAUUUCCAAAAUUGAAUAUAUCGACAUGACUGACCACAAUGAGCCUUCCUUAGACAGCGCUGCUGAUCAACAAACCUUAGACAGUUUGCAAAAAGAAUUAAAUGUGCUGAGAAAUCUUUCAGAUCCUUCAGGAAAACUUUACAGCCUAACCUCAGAAGAGUCACCUGCCUCCAACAACUAUUUGCUGAAUGUAAGUCGGACUACUCUAGAUUUCCUUAAGACCUUACAUGCGACGGACCCCUGUGAAAUGGAGGAACUAAGCUCUUCUGAAAAAGAUACUGAAGUUCAGUCUUUGCUGACACUUUCUGAGAGCAGCACAGAAGAGGAGGAAGAGGAUUUUCUUGACAAGCAACAUGUCAUCACAUGACCAUGGUCAAAGAGGACCUGAAUUUCAUUGUUUUUUCCAUUUUGUACCCAGAAUAAACUGAAAAAACUAACAACUGAAAGAAGUAACCAAGGGAUUACUUGUCCAGCAUGUCCACUCAGGUGUGACAUUUCAUGACUCUCCCUACCCUCCUUUGGUCUCGGACAACAUCUUCCUUAUACAUCUGAUGAAGAAGAAAAUUGU